AUUAAUAAUCAUGUCGGGCUAUGAAACAACCAAAGAUAAAUAUACCACUGGUAAGAUCCACUUUAUCCUAAAGUUAAUUAUUAAUUCUCCAUAACAUUACUGUUACAGUGACAGAAUCACUUCCAUUCCAUGUUUCUCUGACCCUUCUUCUUUUGCCAAUUACAAAGCCUUUUCUUUUCAACCUGUUUUGUUUUCUUUUAUGUACUAUUGAAAACUUGAAUCAACAUAAACAUAAAAACCAUAAAACUAAAUUACAAGAAUCAACAUUGUUUGUUUGUCUUGAAAGUUGGAAAAAUCAAUGGCUACUAACAAGU
rnacentral:lncRNA from 1 species